UACAGAGGGGGCAAGCGUUGUUCGGAAUUACUGGGCGUAAAGGGCGCGUAGGCGGCCCGCUAAGUCGAACGUGAAAUCCCCGGGCUCAACCCGGGAACUGCGUCUGAUACUGGUUGGCUUGAGUGCAGGAGAGGAAUGCGGAAUUCCAGGUGUAGCGGUGAAAUGCGUAGAUAUCUGGAGGAACACCGGUGGCGAAGGCGGCACUCUGGGCCGAUACUGACACUGAGGAGCGAAAGCGUGGGGAGCGAACAGG
rnacentral:rRNA from 1 species